rnacentral:rRNA from 1 species
CACGUAGGGUGCGAGCGUUGUCCGGAAUUAUUGGGCGUAAAGAGUUCGUAGGCGGUGUGUCGCGUCGGCCGUGAAAACCUGCAGCUUAACUGUGGGCGUGCGGUCGAUACUGGAAUCACUGGAGUUCGGCAGGGGAGACUGGAAUUCCUGGUGUAGCGGUGAAAUGCGCAGAUAUCAGGAGGAACACCGGUGGCGAAGGCGGGUCUCUGGGCCGAUACUGACGCUGAGGAGCGAAAGCGUGGGGAGCGAACAGG